GUCCGCGUGCAGAUCCCGCUGUGGGCCUGCCAAAAGCGGACUGUGUGGUCGUACCCGGCCGUGGCCAAAAUGACCGGGUCGCUGCCCACAGUCCCCUGAUUCACGUUCAUGCUUAACUUCUGGCUGCCACUGUCAAAAAAUGUUCCAGCCUUUAACCACCUUGCAGAUUGCCCGAAUGCUGUCGAAAUGUCUGCAAUUGACUUCCUUAACUAUUAGCUGAUAAAUAGAAUUGAGUCCUGUUAUGAUUUAAGAGACCAGAUUUCAUUGAUGAAUGCAGCUUUAUUUUAGGUAGAUGAGUUAACAGUUGAAAACCUCAGACAAAUACAAAACUGUUUUUAAGAACAGCGUGUACAGAAUAAGAACUAUAUAAACACAAACUCUCAUUGCUUCUGUAUAACGCUUAUAGCUUCUGUGUAACACUUGGAACAGAUGAACAAUUGACUGUGAGUUUUGCAUUGAGGUCCUCAGUCCUCCUUUAGCAGGACUGACAUGUGCUGCUUCACCUCACCCGGGUCAGCCAGUGAGCAGGCCAGGAUCACCGCCCGGACUCCACUCUUUGUCCUAGUGGAGGCGAUGAUCUAAAAUGGAAUGUUUUCCAACACCAUUUGUAACAUGCACUGAAUCCUUGAGGUGGAAAGGGAAUGGCGACUGUACCUUCACAUAUAUUUUGCAUCUCUCCAACAGAAAAUUCCACUUCAUUGCAGUUCGUUCAUUAUCAGUCAAAUGAGUAAACUGCUCUGUCUGCAGCAAAAGGAAAAGAUACAGUGUGUGUUUUACCUCUAAA